GCGGAUGUAGCUCAGUUGGUAGAGCGCAACCUUGCCAAGGUUGAGGUCGCGAGUUCGAAUCUCGUCAUCCGCU
rnacentral:tRNA from 1 species